AUUAAACGCUGGCGGCAUGCCUUACACAUGCAAGUCGAACGGCAGCACGGGGGCAACCUUGGUGGCGAGUGGCGAACGGGUGAGUAAAGCAUCGGAACGUGCCCUGGAGUGGGGGAUAACGUAGCGAAAGUUACGCUAAUACCGCAUAUUCUGUGAGCAGGAAAGCAGGGGAUCGCAAGACCUUGCGCUCUGGGAGCGGCCGAUGUCGGAUUAGCUAGUUGGUGGGGUAAAGGCCUACCAAGGCGACGAUCCGUAGCGGGUCUGAGAGGAUGAUCCGCCACACUGGGACUGAGACACGGCCCAGACUCCUACGGGAGGCAGCAGUGGGGAAUAUUGGACAAUGGGCGCAAGCCUGAUCCAGCCAUGCCGCGUGGGUGAAGAAGGCCUUCGGUUGUAAGCCCUUUGUCCGGUAAGAAAGCAUUCGGUUAAUACCCGGUGUUCUGACGGUACCGG
rnacentral:rRNA from 1 species